UAUCAAACUCUUAUCACAGACUACACUGA
rnacentral:sRNA from 1 species